ensembl:lncRNA
GUACAGUGGAUAGGAAUCCGGCUGCCAACGCAGGGAACGUGGGCUCAAUCUCUGGUCUGGGAAGAUCCCACAUACCUCGGAGCAAUGAAGCCCAUGUACCACAACUGCCGAGCCCACAUGCCCCCAAGCCUGUGCUCCGCAGGAAGAGAAGCCACUGCAGUGAGAAGCCCACACACUCAACGAAGAGAACCCGCUCACCGCAACUAGAGAAAGCCCUCGAGUGUCAAUGAAGACCCCAUGUAGCCAAUAAUGGUGGAGUAGCAGUUCUGUGGAUGAGAAUAUCAAGCAGGCAUUUUGAUGAUGCAGGUAAUGAAGCUGGUUGGAGAAAAUGGGAACUGCAUUGGAAAAUACCAAAUGAAUUCUUUUGUGUUCUCCUGUUCUAAUGCCUGGGUCAAAGCAACCCAAACCAACCGCAGUUCUGCAACACCAGCUGUGCUGGGUCUUCGUUGCUGCACGUGGGUUUUCUCUAGUUGCAACCAGCGGGGGCUCCACUUCGUCGCGGUGCACGGGCUUCUCACUGCAGUGGUUUCUCCUGUUGCAGAGCGUGGGCUCUAGAGUGCGAGCUCAGUAGUUAUGGCACAGGUGCUUAGUUGCUCCACAGCACGUGGGAUCUUCCGGGCCCAGGGAUCAAACCCGUGUCCCCUGCGUUGACAGGCAGACUCCUGUCCACCACACCACAAGGGAAGUCCAAAACUGGUUUCAUUUUAAUGUCACACUCCUGUUCGUUUGUUGACCUUAUUUUCUAAAGCUAUUGGGUGACUUUCAUUUCUGAGUUUUUAAAGUUAUUAUCCAUCUGUAUGCCUUUACAGAAGCAGUGAUACUUUCAGCCUAAAAUACCCUUGCUACUUGUUCUCUGGUCAAAGAGUGCCUCCUUCAUUAUAUUCAGCCUUCUCUGCGAAGCUUCCUUUCUCACCCAGGGACUCUUCUAUCCCACCCCUUCCGCUCACCUUGGCGCAGUGGAUCAGCCACAGAACUCCUGUGUUGCUCACACUCUGUGUCCUCUGCUAGUCCACCUAGAACAGUCUGUGGCCUUCCUCUUCCACCAAGCUCUUUGGAGUCCUUGAAGGCAAGGAUCAUGUU